UACGUAGGAGGCAAGCGUUGUUCGGAAUUACUGGGCGUAAAGCGCGCGCAGGCGGUCUUCCAAGUCAGUGGUGAAAGCCCGGAGCUCAACUCCGGAAUUGCCAUUGAAACUGUUAGACUUGAGGAUGAGAGAGGUGAGUGGAAUUCCCAGUGUAGAGGUGAAAUUCGUAGAUAUUGGGAAGAACACCGGUGGCGAAGGCGGCUCACUGGCUCAUUACUGACGCUCAGGCGCGAUAGCGUGGGAUCAAACAGG
rnacentral:rRNA from 1 species